GUGUUCCCAAGUAGCAGCGUACUCGUGAAAUUCGCUGUGAAUCUGGCGGGACCACCCGCUAAGCCUGAAUACUACCUGGUGACCGAUAGCGGACUAGUACCGUGAGGGAAAGGUGAAAAGUACCCCGGGAGGGGAGUGAAAUAGUACCUGAAACCGUGUGCCUACAAUCCGUCGGAGCCUUUAGGGGUGACGGCGUGCCUUUUGAAGAAUGAGCCUGCGAGUUAGUGCUGCGUGGCGAGGUUAACCCGUGUGGGGUAGCCGUAGCGAAAGCGAGUCCGAAUAGGGCGUCUGUAGUCGCGUGGUCUAGACCCGAAGCGGAGUGAUCUAGCCAUGGCCAGGGUGAAGCGUGGGUAAGACCGCGUGGAGGCCCGAACCCACCAGGGUUGAAAACCUGGGGGAUGAGCUGUGGUUAGGGGUGAAAGGCCAAUCAAACUCCGUGAUAGCUGGUUCUCCCCGAAAUGCAUUUAGGUGCAGCGUCGUGUGUUUCGUGCCGGAGGUAGAGCACUGGAUGGUCUAGGGGGCCCACAAGCUUACCGAAAUCAACCAAACUCCGAAUGCCGGUACGUGAGAGCGCGGCAGUGAGACUGCGGGGGAUAAGCUUCGUAGUCGAGAGGGAAACAGCCCAGAACGCCGGCUAAGGCCCCUAAGUGUGUGCUAAGUGGGAAAGGAUGUGGGGUCGCCCAGACAACCAGGAGGUUGGCUUAGAAGCAGCCACCCUUUAAAGAGUGCGUAAUAGCUCACUGGUCAAGUGGUCCUGCGCCGACAAUGUAGCGGGGCUCAAGCACACCGCCGAAGCCGUGUCAUUCCGGUUAUGCCGGGAUGGGUAGGGGAGCGUCGUUCAGCCGUUGAAGCGCCGGAGUGAUCCAGGUGUGGAGGCUGGACGAGUGAGAAUGCAGGCAUGAGUAGCGAAAGCAGAGUGAGAAACUCUGCCGCCGGAUGACCAAGGGUUCCUGGGCCAGGCUAAUCCGCCCAGGGUAAGUCGGGACCUAAGGCGAGGCCGACAGGCGUAGUCGAUGGACAACGGGUUGAUAUUCCCGUACCCGUGUGAACGCGCCCAUGGCGAGGCUUGUGAUACUAACCGCCCGAAGCCCGGGUCUGAUUCUUCGGAUGAGGACCCGACGUGGAGCGCGGGACCUGAACUUGUAGUAGUCAAGCGAUGGGGUGACGCAGGAGGGUAGCUCCGCCAGUGAGUGGUAGUACUGGUGUAAGCGUGUAGGCCG
rnacentral:rRNA from 1 species